AGCUGUGAGGGCAAUCUGGCUAUGACAUCUGUCACCUUACUGAUUGCCAGGGUUGAUUUGGCUGAUCUGUAUGGCUAGGCGGGUGUCCCCUUCCUUCCUCACUGCUCCAUGUGUGUCCCUCCUGAAGCUGCACAUUCAGUCCUAGAGGACGACCCUCCUUGAUAAAGGAGGACCGUUCUUCCAUCAAGGGCAUCCAAGUAGCUGCAUUCCCCCCCCACCCCGAACCUCCAAACAGGCUCUCAAAGAGCAUUAAACCAAACAUAACUUGAUUUCAAGGAGAACCUGCUAGAAGAGAUGAUCUCAGGCUCCUUGAGCA
rnacentral:snRNA from 1 species